rnacentral:rRNA from 1 species
GACGAACGCUGGCGGCGUGCUUAACACAUGCAAGUCGAACGGAAAGACCCUGCUUUUUUGGUGUGCUCGAUUGGCGAACGGGUAAGUAACACUUAAGUAACCUGCCCUUGCCUUUUGGAUAACGUCAGGAAACUGGGGCUAAUACCGGAUAGAAGCUCCUUCUUCAUGGUGGGUGUUGGAAAGUUUCGGCGGAUGGGGAUAGACUCGCGGCUUAUCAGCUUGUUGGUGGAGUAGUGGAUUACCAAGGCUUUGACGUGUAGCCGGCCUGAGAGGGUGACCGGCCAAAUGGGGAAUGAGCUACGGGACGGAGCAGUAAGGGAGACAGCAGAGGGGAAUAUUGCACGAUGCGCGGAAGUAUCAUGAAGCAAGGCCGCGUGAGGGAUGAUGGACUUCGGGUUGUAAACAGUUUUCGCCUGUGACGAAGCGUGAGUGAAGGUAAUGGGUAAAGAAGCACCGGCUAACUACGUG